AGUAACAAGAGGGAAACGUUACUGAUAAUAACUGGAUAAGUUAGUAUAUCGCAUGAUAUGCAAAUGAAAGCUACGGCACUAAAGGAGAGCUUGCGUCCUAUUAGCUAGUUGGUAAGGUAAGAGCUUACCAAGGCGAUGAUAGGUAGCCGGCCUGAGAGGGUGGACGGCCACAAGGGGACUGAGAUACGGCCCUUACUCCUACGGGAGGCAGCAGC
rnacentral:rRNA from 1 species